ensembl:lncRNA
UGGCAAAGUUUUUGAAAUUAACAUAGCAAAUCAAUGGAAAAGACCAGGGUGAUGAGGCUGGACAAGAAGAUCAAACCAAAAUAUAAUUUAAAUAAAUAAAAAACGUACUCAUUUUUUUUCUUGUCUUUAACUUGAUGUGUCGGUUAAUGAAACUCUAUCAACAUUUGAAUCAUGUUGCAACAACAUAAAUGGUUGAUUGAAUUCGCAGCAUUUAUUGGGUGUAAUUUUAACCUAGAUUUCAAACAAAAAUCAGCAAUAGGGUUUUAAAGGUUGGUUCAUUUCAAGUAGAAUUCAUAUUUGUUGACAACUCAUACAAAUGGACGUUGGAUGUUCGUCUGACAUCUAACCAUGAAGUGGCAUCCUUUCUAGCAUGAAAUCAAUGACUAGACAGUGUUGGGUAGACUUCAGAGCAGAGAGACAGGUCUAGUUACCUAAUCAAAUAUGAAAUCAUUCACCUUUAGGGGAUCCUCCUCUCCAACUCUUGGCAAGUGAAGAAAAAACAUAAUCAGUGCUGCGUUAAAGACUGAGAAAUGCAGCAUUUUUUUUCAAAGGAGAAAAAGUUUAGGACCUGAGUUUAAACCUCACAUCUGUAGAACAUGAAGGUCACAGCUUUGUUGUGUGUGUGUGUGUGUGUGUGUGUGUGUGUGUGUGUGUGUGUGUGUGUGUGUGUGUGUGUGUGUGUGUGUGUGUGUGUGUGUGUGUGUGUGUGUGUGUGUGUGUGUGUGUGUGUGUGUGUGUGUGUGUGUGACUGGACUAGAGCCAGAGGAGAUCUAGGGGGCAUCAUGAAAUGCUGAGUCCAGCUCGGGCCCAUGCAGCAAGCUCAGCAGCUGCUGUACGUCUAGACUCUAUGGCAGCUCAAUACCAAUUAAUCUGUCUGCUGCACUCCUAUAGCAAACUACAUUAGGAUUAUGUUAUGGACCGAGAUCGAUGUGGAUUUCCAGGAGAUGAGAGAUCAAAGUACAGGUGACAUUGACCAAGAAGGACGGUUUCAGAAGGCUGGAUCAAUAAACAACCAAGCUAGAUUCUUAAAACAAGAUUUGGUAGUUUGUCAUUUCAAAGGUAGUGAAAGUAGUUAAGCCACCAAAAGAGAAACCUAAAUAGUAAAUCUUAAACCUACAAACUCAUUGGGGCGGCAGGUAGUCUAGUUACAGCGUUAGGCCAGUAACUGAAAGGUUGCCGGUUCCAAUUCCUGAACUGACAAGGUACAAAUCUGUCGCUCUGCCCCUGAACAAGAGAACCCACUGUUCCCCGGUAGGCCGUCAUUGUAAAUAAGAAUUUUUCUUAACCUUCAUUUAACUAUGCAAGUCAGUUAAGUAAAAGUUCAAUUAAAACAAAACAAAAAAUGCAUCCAGUGACAGUAUAGUAUCAACCAAUGAAAUACCUUUAAAACAGUAAGGAGAAAACAUACAAAAUAAAUAUUUUUAAGUAUAAUUUAUUGUACAUUGUCAUUCCUUCCCAUUAUUUCAGAAGAUUUAACAAAAACUAACAUUGUAACAUUGCCAUUUAUACAAAAUAUAAACUAUAAGGGGGUAUAUAAAUUUAACAUCAACCCUUCCCACAUGGUUACAGUACAGUCAUUUUGUUAGGACCAACCAGGCAUCGAAAGGGAGAGAUGCCAGUUAUACCCUCCUUGUAAAAGACCAGAAACUCUUUAUAAAUCACAAGGUAUACCGACACAAGCCCAGUAUCAAUCUUAUUAUCUCUACAUACAACACAUCUUCUGGUACAUUUCCAAUAACAAAAAACUCAAAAAGUGCCAAAUCGUGACCAUUUAAAAUAGUUUAAUUAAAAGAGGCUUGAGUUUCUCUUUAAUAAUCUAUGUGCAACCUUCUCUUUGGGCAGGGCACAUACAAAACUAAUUUAGAAUUAUUUCCCAGGUGAAAUUAAAACUACAAUAAGAACUUCUGUACACACAAGUGGUCCACAUUUUUUUCAAGAGACCUGACAUGACAACCACUUCCCUAUAGGCCUACAUACCCCAGAAUACCCCAGACUGAUAACCAGGAUGUUGGUUGUGUUACUAUGGAAAUGCAGGUCUUGAGGGUUGGCAGAGCAAGAAGCCAUGUUGAGGUUCCGUAUGGGGUUUCGAGAUAGGGGAGGGGUGCGAGGGGUUGAUGGUGGCGGCUUCCUCUCCAACUAACGUCCCCCCCCCAGAAAAAAAAGUCAGCACUAGGAUUUUCUUUUUUCUGUGGGGGCGAACGAGUGGGUGUGGGUGAUGUGGAGUUGGCCGAGCUGCUGUACGUGUCCGUGACCAUGGUGGAGUUGACGCUGGAACCUACGCCGGGCGGGUUGCCCGAUGUGGUGUUUUGGGAGACCACCUGCAGGCAAACAGGAAGAGGCUUGGUUUAGCAACAUCUCAAAUUGAAUUCCACUGAAUUGAGAAACUGAGUUCUUCAUUUUUGAACAAAAACAUUCUAGCCAAAGCACAUGGCUUUCAUGGCUAAAUGACUAAAAUUCACAUUUUAGUCAUUUAGCAGAGCUCUUAUACAGAGUGACUUUUUAAAAUUAUUUGUUUUGCCUUUAUUUAACUAGGCAAGUCAGUUAAGAACAAAUUCUUAUUUUCAAUGACAGCCUAGGAACAGUGGGUUAACUGUGGGUUAACUGCCUGUUCAGGGUCAGAAUGACAGAUUUGUACCUUGUCAGCUUGGGGAUUUGAACUUGCAACCUUCUGGUUAGUAGUCCAACAUUCUAACCACUAGGCUACCCUGCCACCCAUCAAUAUGAGGUCAUAUCUAGAGGACUUUACAUUUUAGGGUAGAAAAGGAAGGCUGUGAAGAACUAGCAAACAAAUACUUCAGGAGGUUAAAAACCAGCUAUCGUGGCAUAUGGGGAUUCUAGGCCCAAUCUGAAAAACAAUUGAUGGAUUGAGAUUUAGAAUGGAGGGAUGUUUUACAAUUAAAAUGGCCACCAAUUUACUGAACACCAUGUAGGGUAGUCCAAUUUGUCAUGUCAUAUCCAAAGAAAAAUCCUAGAUUAGACCAAAUCAGUAACCUAACUGAACCAAGCAAAUUUCCACUGAAUGUUCUUCCAACUGGUAGCCUAGCUAGUUUAUGCUGAAAAAUAGCAAAUCGUGCAAAUUAAACACAAUGCACAUUUCAUUUAUACAUCCGCUACACUGGAAAGAAAACAUGAACAGGAGGAAACUGUCCCCCCCAUAAAGAUGUAACCUGUUCGUGUCUCUGUUCGGGUCACACCCAGUUAUCACGUUGGCCUGUACAUGUAACACCACAUAGAAUGCUAGUCCAAACAGGCACGCGCAAUCGGACGGUCUUCGCUAUUCGUUUCAGGUAUCGUUUGUCGCGCAGCACUGAAAGGAACUUUAUCCCUUUGGUAGAUUGGUAGACUCGGGUGUACGUGGCUUUAAAUCAUUCAUUUUACCGAGAUGUUUUUAAUAAAUUAAAGAAACGUACAUCACAACUAUUAAGAUAAUUGCCAACAAGACAAGAUGGAUAGAUAGAUGUUGAGGAACGGUCCCAAAAUGUGCGCACACGUUAAAGUAAGUGAUUGGCACCAAUGUGAGGCUUAUGACUUGGAUCAGAUCAUAUAAUUGCAUGAUUUUACCUGAUUAAUACCCACUGGGCAAACACUGUUUGAAUCAACGUUUCCACGUAAUAAAGAAAAGCAAUGUGAUGACAUGAAUCAACAUAGAAAACGGAUUGGAUUUUUUAAAAGUCAUCGACAUAAGGUUAUUUGGCUUUUUUUGUUUUUUUUUACCCAACUUUUAACCUAAAUCCAAUGACAUGAUGACAUGGUGAAAUGUUUUGUUGAAUUCAGGUUAGUUGACAAAUCAACCAAAUGUAAAUAAAAACUGGACGAACUGACGUCUGUGCUCGGUGGGCUACUUUAAAUCCUCUCUGCCAUAGCCCUAUAACGUUAAAACCAUAUCACGAACAAUUAAUUAUAGACUAUCGAAGAAAUACCCUACAACAAAAACACCUCACGCAAAUAAAAUGCGAAUUACUUGACAAAAAACAUUUUUAUAGGAAAAAUACUUAAUAUUAAUAAUAAAUGUAUUUGGCAUACCUGUGUCGAUAAACAUAUAGCGAACACAAUCACUCCGAGAUGAACAACCAUCAUUUUUGACAUCCUUAUGAUGAUUUGGCUAGAACUUCAAGCACAGACGCAACCAGCAGCCACAGUCCCUCUGAAAAUGUGAUCACUGAAAUAGUUGGACCGACCUUCUUUAUACCAGCAUCAUGACGGACGUGUGACGUGAGAAUUGUCACAUACCUACAGUAAACAACCAGGAAACAAAAUAACCAAUUAAUGUAAAAUCUUGCGCUAAACAUAUUUAUUUUAUUUUGAACAUAUUGGUCGUUAAAAUCCAUAUGCAUUUUGUAUAUUUUAUAAGGGUGUGUCAUCAGUGGGAAAGCUACAUUCAGAGCUACAUUCGGAAGCUUUUUGUGGAAUAAAACAAAAUAUGGCUUUGGAACGGCUCCCAUUGAAUGAAAAGGUCUGCUACAGGGGCAACUUCAAUCCAGGAAUUAUUAGGUUUCAACGUCCAAAUAAGUAAUUUGCAACGAGUUGCUUGGCCGGUAUCUUCUGCCAACAGUUCGCAAUGAACCUCUUCGUCGUCAUUUUACUUGCGUCUUCGGUCUUUUGAAAGUUUCUUAUUAUAUAUAUAUUUACCAUUGUAGGCUAUGGGCUGAGGAUAGGUUCCUAAUACCAAUACAGGAAUCUCUAGAUUUUCUGUCCAAGACCUAUCUGCUAUCUGUAUAGAAAUCUAAUGGGACAAAUACAAAAUGAGUAUCAUCGC